CAGAGAUACAUGCAAAAAAAAAAAAAAUUAAACCAGGUAAUCAUAUUUAUAUUUGAGAAACUAUUUAAAACCCAGAGUAUUAUAAAUAGCAAAACAAUGUCAUGGAUAAGAUUUUGACAAUGCAACUAUUUAUUAAUUAUUAAGUUCGACCUCUAGAAUUUUACCAUGGAUGAAGUAUAUCAUGGGUCACAAAGUAUAGAAAUUUAUGUAGCGGGCUUUAUAGAGAUCAACAUUUUUGAAUUACACAUUUCAAGAUCGUGUCAUGUAUAUAUCGCUUGUUUAGGGGUUAUACACACAUGCAUCGCUAAUAACGUUCAUUUUCUUAUUGUAACCGUAGAUGAAUUUUUUGCUAUAUAAAGAGUAGGUCUAUAUAUUUAUUUCUGUCAGUAAAUUAAUCUUGUUGGUAUCGCAUCAUCUGUUUUCUCCAACUGUUCACAUGGCUCUUGCAUUCAAUUUAGUUUGCUCUAAUAACCCAUGCAGACAAAACUAGAGAAUCAAAGUUUGUAUGGUUUGAUUAUGGAAUAUGCCCAGACUCCACUCUCAUGAAGAGAUAUCAUCCAUAGAAAUGAUUCUUAAGGACGAGGAUGUAAGUGUUUUAUUGAUUAAUUUAGGCAUGUACUUCUUGUGUUCUAACAGUUAUUUUUCUCCAGGGUGAAAACAUUCAUGCUACAGUUAAGACUGCCUUCCUUCCACGACAUCGCAAGAAUUUUGAAGAGGAAAAAAUUUUACUCUUUGAAGUGCAGCUUGUGCCAUAGAAGAUAAUUUUUGGAGAAAGAAUCUUUGUAACACCUAACAUUUAGUUAGCUUCACUGGAGCUUACUCUCCAAUCUUUCCUUUUCUUGACUAAAUAUUUUUACUUUCAGUUUCAAUUGAUGGGUUCUUAACUCUUAAUUAUUACUAAAACUAGAAAUACAUUUUUAAUGUUAGGAAUUUACUAAAACAAAAUAGAGAGCACAUUUUAAUUU